GCAUUGUGAUGUUCCCUACAAUCAGAACACAAUGGUUCCUCACACUCAUUACACCAGUGGGAUGACGGUGAAGUUUGGUGUCGAUGAUCGCAUACAGCGCACACUGAUUUACAUGUAGCCAUUGUCGAUACUUCUAAGUAAAACAAACGCAGAAUCUUUGUUUCUAUAUCAAUCUUUCAGUUAACAUCGGACAAUAAGUUAUUGCCCCAAUAUUCUUGAAUACUAAACUAUAUCAAUAAAUCCAAACGAUUAUAUCUCAUCAGAAAUAACAAUCUAUUAUAUCU